rfam:Bacillus sp. B-jedd genome assembly, contig: CONTIG000001
CUCUUAUCCAGAGUGACGGAGGGUCAGGCCCUAUGAAGUCCGGCAACCUUCAAGCGAAAGCUUGAAAAGGUGCUAAUUCCUGCAGGCGGUUUUGCCUGGAAGAUAAGAG